UACGUAGGGUGCAAGCGUUAAUCGGAAUUACUGGGCGUAAAGCGUGCGCAGGCGGUUUUGUAAGUCAGAUGUGAAAUCCCCGGGCUUAACCUGGGAAUGGCAUUUGGGACUGCAAGGCUAGAGUGUGGCAGAGGAGACUGGAAUUCCUGGUGUAGCAGUGAAAUGCGUAGAUAUCAGGAGGAAUACCGAUGGCGAAGGCAGGUCUCUGGGCUAACACUGACGCUCAUGCACGAAAGCGUGGGGAGCAAACAGG
rnacentral:rRNA from 1 species